rnacentral:rRNA from 1 species
GAGGAAUAUUGGUCAAUGGACGAGAGUCUGAACCAGCCAAGUAGCGUGAAGGAUGACUGCCCUAUGGGUUGUAAACUUCUUUUAUACGGGAAUAAAGUUAGCCACGUGUGGCUUUUUGUAUGUACCGUAUGAAUAAGGAUCGGCUAACUCCGUGCCAGCAGCCGCGGUAAUACGGAGGAUCCGAGCGUUAUCCGGAUUUAUUGGGUUUAAAGGGAGCGUAGGCGGGUUGUUAAGUCAGUUGUGAAAGUUUGCGGCUCAACCGUAAAAUUGCAGUUGAUACUGGCGACCUUGAGUGUAACAGAGGUAGGCGGAAUUCGUGGUGUAGCGGUGAAAUGCUUAGAUAUCACGAAGAACUCCGAUUGCGAAGGCAGCUUACUGGAUUGUAACUGACGCUGAUGCUCGAAAGUGUGGGUAUCAAACAGGAUUAGAUACCCUGGUAGUCCACACAGUAAACGAUGAAUACUCGCUGUUGGCGAUAUACGGUCAGCGGCCAAGCGAAAGCAUUAAGUAUUCCACCUGGGGAGUACGCCGGCAACGGUGAAACUCAAAGGAAUUGACGGGGGCCCGCACAAGCGGAGGAACAUGUGGUUUAAUUCGAUGAUACGCGAGGAACCUUACCCGGGCUUAAAUUGCAACUGACUGAACCGGAAACGGUUCUUUCUUCGGACAGUUGUGAAGGUGCUGCAUGGUUGUCGUCAGCUCGUGCCGUGAGGUGUCGGCUUAAGUGCCAUAACGAGCGCAACCCUUAUCGAUAGUUACUAGCAGGUCAUGCUGAGGACUCUAUUGAGACUGCCGUCGUAAGAUGUGAGGAAGGUGGGGAUGACAUCAAAUCAGCACGGCCCUUACGUCCGGGGCUACACACGUGUUACAAUGGGGGGUACAGAAGGCAGCUACACGGCGACGUGGUGCUAAUCCCGAAAGCCUCUCUCAGUUCGGAUUGGAGUCUGCAACCCGACUCCAUGAAGCUGGAUUCGCUAGUAAUCGCGCAUCAGCCACGGCGCGGUGAAUACGUUCCCG